rnacentral:lncRNA from 1 species
AGUAGUUAACAUUAAGAGAUUACCACAUCUCUCAAAGCAAAUUGCUGCCAUUUAAAACACAAGUUUAGCAAGAUAGGAGAUGAUUUUGCCUAUCAAACACACCAAGAUUGGUAUUUUUCCUAUCUUGAGAUAAAUAAAAAUGUUGGUUACUAUUUCUUUAAUAGUUAAAGUUAUGUUAUUUGAACAUUAAGGUACUUUGUUCAUUUGAGUACAUUUCUUAGCACCAGCUGCUGGGUAUGUCUUUUCUCUGUUUACCCUGAUUUCACAACACUGUUUACUUCUAUCAGUUUAGACUAGAGGACGUACCUAAAGGAAAAAGUCCAGAAAAUGUUUUCAUGAAUCAGUCUUUUAAAGUAUAGAAGUUUUAAUCACAUGACCUUGGUUUAUCAAUUUCUAAUAGUUAAAUAUAUAUAUGUGCAUAAUUAAUACUUUUUUAAUCCAGAAUCCUGACCCACAUUAAAAAGGUAAAAAUUUUAAACAAUGCCAAUUAUACAAAUAUGCCACAGAAAAUAACAUUCUACAAUAUUUUCAAAUGAAAUCUUGUUUUUAAAAAUUCAAAAAAUUCUUGUUUUUAGGAAUUCAAAAUUCCUAGUAUUAACCAAGUAAUAAGCACGAUACAGAAGAGACCAUUUUCAUUAUAACUAUUACUAGCAACAAUGCAGUUACACAUGUGUAAGCAUUUAAAAAGAGGAGUGUCUUUGAAAUGUAAAUGCAAAAAGUCAACUCUACUUACAUUAUAAGUUUAAGACCAAUAGAACACUGAAGACAACUAUGAGAAUAUAAAAGGUCACGAAAGUUUAAAUACUGUGUGAUAAUUCACUCUUUAAAAAGACAGUUUUGACAAAUUCUAACCACAGGGACAAAUAUUUUUCCUGCCAAACCACUUCUCUCAUUCAUGGUGCAGCAUUUUACCUCUAUCUAGUAUGGUUGUUCCUUGUUCAUGGUAACACAGGUGACUGCAUUCAAAUGGCAUUUACCAUAAAUUGCACCGAAAUGCCCUAUAAUUUCAUUUGGACUGAAUUAAUUAACUUCUCAGUAGGUGGCUGAGGUACUGAACAUAAGCCUAAAGAAAUAUUUGACUGCUUAACCUACCUUCCAUGAAUUGUCUCUAAAUCAAGGCAGCUUCCAUUUUAAUAAACAGUACCAGGUAAAAUAUAUUUAGUAGGACCUAAAGGG